ACACACGCACGCACGCACACACAGACCGUCUCUCUCUCUCUCUCACACACACACACACACACACACCAGUAGCCAUCCUUGAAAUCCAGAAACAGCCAAAAGCUUCAAGAUGUGUAAAAGAAACAAACCUCUGACCAAAACUGAUAUUGAGACAUGUGGACAGAACCAGACCUCAGUCUGCCUCCUGACUGUGGUCCCCACAGGGACACAUGUUGGCCCCUCAAAUGUGCACAACAGUUAAAAAAAGAAGAAGAAAGAAAAAUGCAGCGCAUCCAUCGACAUGUGUCGCAAUAAAACGCCCAUCCAUUAAGUUAACGCUGACGGAUAUGACACCUUCACGCUAUUUUCUUCGCGUAAGAGCAAUUUAACAUUUACAAACACAUCACAAAUUCAUCACCCACAUACCCACACGUACAUGCAUACAUACAUAUAUGCACAUUCACGGUCGUUGCAGCCUCUUUAUGCCGCUGUAUAAACACAUGUAGCCUACAUAUGAUUUAGUCCAUUUCCACCAAAGGUAUAUUUCCCAGGGAGAUCACGCGUGCUAGUGCUAGCAAAGGCACCAGGAGGUUAGAAAGCACAGAGUCGUUCUUGUUCAAUUUGGGGGGAAAGAAAAGAAAGAAAAGAAUCCAGCUUUAAAAUGUGAGCUUAUUCUUAUUUAUGUGAUUUUGUGAAAACCCGGCCCAGCUGCUGCUGAGAGCAGAGUUUACAUCCACUGCUAGUCCUGCACUCAUCACCUCCACCUGAAAUUGCCAUGGAAAAAAACACAAUCAUGAUCGACCAUGUACAUGCACAGUCAUUUGCAGCGCCAUUAUGCAGAUGGAGUCGUUAUUGAAUGACCCUUGCUUCUGCAGCCCUUCAGAUUUUUACAGCCCCUGCAGAACAAUCCGUGCACGAUUACACAUAAAGGGGUGUUUUUUUCUUCUUCGUCUAGCUAGCACUACAUUUUGGAAUUUUAUUUUUAAAAAAAAGAAAAAAGAAAGAAAGAAAAAAAAAUCACGAGUAAGAGAGAGGGAGAGAGAGGAAGAAGAGAAGUAGUCAUAGGCCUCUCUCAGUUUGUUGCUUAUACACCAAACAAAGAGUCCUGGAAGCCUGUGCGCGAUCAAUCUUACUCGCCAAAAGGUCUGACAGCUCGGUGCCCUCACAACACAUUUAAGGCUUCUAACUCUCCCUCGGAU